CUAUAUUACAUUGCAUUAUUCAGCAAUCGAAAUUUGUUCAUCACUAAUAUAUAUGCACAGAAUCAUUGGUUUCUCUAAAUGUUUCGUUCUAGAUAUCUGUAGCGAUGGCCUUAGAAUAUCACACCUUACUUCAUUAUUCAUUCCAAUGGACAGCUUUUUCUUUGAUGUUUAAAAUCUCCUAGUCAGUGGCAAAUAACAUGAAACUGUCACGAACAAGCACAACAAAAACUGACCUUAAUGAUAAGGGAAAUUUCUUACAAUUUCAUCCGAUAUUUGUCUGGUAAACAUUCAACGCUAAUUUUCUCUUUUCCUGCUUGCUCAUCUCAGCAAUAUCGCUACAAGUUAGUCGAAGUCGAACAUAACUACAUUAUAUCAUUAUAAUGUAACGAUGAUUGACAUCGUGAUUUUUAAAUGUCUUUUCUUACAAGUGAGAUGCAUAAUCAUAAAAACAUUAUAUGAUUAUUAAUUUCCUGUUAUUAUGUGUCCAUGUUUAAUUAACCGAACAUGCAAAUUCAUUUGUUGUGCGAGAAAACUAUAAAGCCGUGUAUACGAUGCCAACAGCGCAUUAAGUUUUCUCUAAAUGGAAAUGAUUAUACUAAAUGUGUAAGUUUAAAUUAGAAGUUGUAAGUGUAAAAACAUUUUUAAACGGAGUUUUUUUUGUCUUGCGUCAUGUUCAAGUUUAAUGUGGAACAUCAAACAAUCACCUUUUACCUCCUGUGAUAUUUUAUCUUCGACGUGAUUUCCAUAGCCACAUUUAGGAAAGAAUUUAUAUAUUUUUUUUACAUGUCUUAUUUUAUUAUAUAAAUUGUUUAUUUUGAGCUCUAUUAUAAAAUUAAAACUUUAAUAUACAAAACAGAUGCACGAUAAACUAAAGUUUUUAUAACGUUAUAAGGUGUAAUGUAAUAGCUGUGAUAUUUUGUUAACACAUAAUUCUUCUUAUCAGUUAAUUGUAUAUUACUUAAUUGAUCAGUUUAAUUUUUCAACUGUUAAUGUUAACAGUAUCCGUAUGACAUUAAAUAAAUCACUUUUUUCAAUCGAUCAUCACUGAUGAAACUUUAAAUGUCAAAAUGCGCAUUUAUUGCAGUACUGUUAUCAAUGAUUUCCCAUUGCGUGCGCAAUUCGUUAUAUCAGAGGUUUUGAAGUUAUUUAGUUUGAAUAUAACGAAUUGUUGACACGACCCAUUGGCGUUUUAAUUCAUAAGCAGUGUUGUUUUAUCAAAAAAGCAUGGAUCUGUUCUAGUUGGAAUCCGAACAAUUCUUUCAGCAACUUUAUUUAUAAUGCCUUAAGUGUACUGUAUGCACAUAACACAAUCAAUUUUAUGUUAAAAAAAUUCAAAAGGCUAUUUUUUCAUCGAUAUAGAUAAAAAGGGACUAGAGGUUCAUACAUUUUAUUCAAUGAAGAAGCAACAAAACAAAAUUAAAUGACAACAUCCUGACCAUCUGUGUAAGAUGGCAAUUAAUGCAAUGAAAACAAAGUCUAUGAAUGCAUGUCCCUCAUGCCUAAUGGACAGUAAACGCUAUUCGCUGUCAGUUUCACCCGAUACCAUCGACCCAGUAUGAAUGAUAGGAUGGAAGCAUUAUGACCGUACAGUUUAGAACCAAGAGAUUAAGUUGAGAAGAUUUGAGUAAAGUAGACCUGUAAUUGUAUCAAUUUUUAUUAUGGAGAAUAAUCAUGUUAAUUAUAUUUCUUUUUGAAAUGAUAACAAUAGGUUUUUGAUUCGUUAUAUAGGUCAAUGAAAUUACAACAAAACGACAAAAAACAUAAAAAUCAAGAGUUUAUAUACAUACGAGUGUUUAUGUAGAUAGUUAUCAAAUUGAAUAACACAAUAUUAUACAAAGAUAGCCUUUGUAUGAGGUUAAUACAAGGAUAUAUUGACCUGAAAGAAGUAUAUUGACUGAGGACGAAGUCCAAUGUUGAUAUACCUCUUUGGGUCUAUAUAUCCUGCAUUGACCCCAUACAAAGGCUACAUUUUUUUAUAUUAUUAAUUUCCGACCAUAUUUGUAUCAAAAUCGCUAUUUGAUUUUGUUGGGAUUUUAUAGAUAUCAUAAUGUCUCCUUGACAAUAACAAAAUAUUAGUUGUUAUUUCAAUUGCUUUUUUUCUGUUUGUUUGUCAUCUUAUGUAUUUUGAAGAUUUUUUAAACAAUAUCCUGAAAUUCAUUACAUGACGUCACAAAGUAUAUCGUUUUUUUGCUAUCCGCCGAUUUCUCUCUACCUUCGAAAAUAUAGUUUAACAUGUGACUAUCCAUAAACGAAUCAAAUUUGUUAAAAUAUACGAAUUAAUAAUACCAUGGAAUAAUACAUUAUGGGGACCUAAAGUAUGCAAUGAUAUAAAUUAUAACAACCCCAUCUUGCAAAAUCGACCAUAGACGAUUUUGGCCCCUUGUUUUUUUCUUUUCUCUUUAAAAUUUUAAAAAUAACACAAACAGCACGCUUGAGAAUGGACAUAUAUUAUGGAGUUGGUAAAACAUAUAGAUAUCGUUGUAAUAUGUCGCAUCGUUUAGUUAUUUCUCAGUAUUUGACAUUCACUGAAUUAUUGACAUAAUAAGGUAUAACUUUAAACGGUCAUCAGAAACAUUACGUUUGGUCAUUUGACAUUUACUGAAUUAUUGACAUAAUCAGGUAUAACUUUAAACGGUCAUCAGAAACAUUACGUUUGGUCAUUUGACAUUUACUGAAUUAUUGGCAUAAUUAGGUAUAACUUUAAACGGUCAUCAGAAACAUUACGUUUGGUCUUUUUGAAGUCAUAUUUAAAGAGAUUACAUGUUCAUAUGACCAAUAUUUUAUAAGGGAAUGCAUUUCACGACAUUUUGUAAAACGUUUUUUUUCUGCGGAGGAUCGUUGUUUUUGGUCAGAUAUUUCACAAAUAUUUUUCGUCUAGAUCUGUUACUUAAUUUUUAUAGUUCACUUUCAACUUUUUAUUCGAGAGUCCCUUUUUACUCUUUAGUAUCAGAAACGCGGGUCUAUCGUGUAAAGUUAUAAGUCUGGUGUCACUAAUGUUUUUGUUAUAAUAUUGACCACACGUUUUUGAAUAAAACUGUGUGUCAAAAGUUUGCGGAUGCAAGUUAUGAAUCCCAAUUCAAGAUUCAGGAAACAGUAAAAUUAUCCAUUAAUAAAAUCAAAAUAAAAUAACAGAUACAAGAAAAACGAACAAGGGAUUCCUACAAGAAUCGAAAUUCAAUGUACAUUCAUGUUUAGAAAGUUGAAGAAGAUAAUAUAUAAAUCAUCGAAUAAAUAAAUUUCCAAUUUGAUAUUUGAUAUUCUUAUGAGCAGUUCAGGCGGUAUCUUUGUAAGUUUUGGAAUCAUUAUGAUCAAAUAAGGUUAUUUGCUUUAUCAAGUUUUACAAAUAAAUCAUUGGAAUAAAAGUGUAACAAUUCAAACUUGUUAAUACCAUUGUUUUUUUUAAAUAAUAGAGUAAACAUACUUUAUAUUCCAUGUUAAUUCGAUUGUCGUUUUAUUAAAUGCAGUGGUUUACAAUAAGCAUAUAGUUUUUUUUAACAUGCUAGAGCGUUCUACUAUUUAUAUUCGUCGAUUUUUGUUUUACUUUUUAAAAACAAUGAAGUAUAUAAAAAAAAAAAAAACGACAACACACGGCUGUUGCUUACCUUUGCUUACCUGUAUCUGAAAACAUCUGUCUGUUUUCUGUUUUAAAGACUCUCGGAAUUCUCUUUUUUUAUCGGAUAAAAAGUAAAACGACACAAAUACCGGUCUCCGAGGAAAAUUCAAAAAUGAAUAUCAUUUAUAAAACGAAAAAAAUCAAAAAUUUAAAAUUUGAAAGCUGUAAUUUCAAUGUUUGGUGUAAUCAUUACUAGAACAGAAAAUUUCUAUAAUCAUAAAGUAAGAAAAAAAGGACAAGCCUGUUACUGUAAGAGUUGACUUCUAUGUUAAUUGGAAGAAUUAUUAACCAACAAUAUCCACAUUACGUCAUGUGUAAUGUAUGCUUUAAAAGCCACUACCCGUUAUUUCCUGUCUCAGUAAUUUUGUACAUUGUACAUUGUUUCCAAGCUGUCGAUUUCAGAAGACGUUAAUUAAAACAAACUGCACAUGACACAAGAAAUGAGUAUUCACUACUUUAUAUUUUCCAUAUCUUUAAGUUUAACUAUUUGUUUCUUUGUAGUGGUUGAACUUUGCUUUUGCAGUUUAAAAUGUAUAUUUUCUCAAAUAUUUUAUGAAACCAAAGGUAAAUUUUGGUCAAACGAUACAUUUUUUUUCUUGUUAAAUGGAUUAAAAAUAGACGCAAUUUAUAGUCUUAUAAUUACAUUAGAUGUAUGUUUCAUUAUAAUAUUUUAUUCUGAUUGGCUAACUGCACAUCACGUGUUAUUCUUGCAUUGUUGCCAAUACAACUUUUCAUCAUGAUAACACGUGCUCCAACAAUAAAGUGCACAGGUGAAUAAUAAUAAAAAUAUAAAAUUGUGUUUUCAUAUCAUAGCUAAAAAUGUAAUUAUAAGUAUUGAAUGCUUCUUUUUGUAACUUCAUAGGGUUGUAAAAGCGUUGACCGUGGGAACAUUUUUAGAAUGUUCCCACUUCCGAGCUUCAUACAAAAUGUACUUCGGUCAACGCUUUUACACCCCAAUAAAUUUACAAAAAGAAGCAUUCAAUUCCUAAGUGUAAUUCAGAAAACUGAUGCAACACAUGACCUUGAAGAACCUGUUCUAGAAACUAAAUUGUAUCGAACUUUUCCCAAGAGAAUGCCGAAUUCCAUGCAUAAUUACUGAAAUAGUAACGUUCGGCGUAUUUGCAUUUUAAUUUCCCAUAAUAACAUUGAACUUUAUCAAGGUGAAAAUUAGCUCUUCUAAUGGAGGUUACAAUGCCUUAUAACGUGCAAUUAAAAGCAGAAGAUUGAAGUUGGUUUAGUUUAAAACUAAAUAAAUUGAGCGAACAGUUAAGAAUUCGUUUAUAAAUUGAUUUUAACAUUGCUUUUUCUUCACAAAUAUUGAAGGACAAAUAUUGUUGAUACAUUUAUUUUCGUAGAUACCAAUUUUCGAGGAUUAAGGAAAACUGGUAUUUUGUAUCUAUUUGAAUUUGUAUUGUGCAUAAAUACCUAUACAAAAUUUGUAAUUCGUUGGACAUUUGAAUUCGUGGUUACUGGGUAACUACGAAAUACACGAAAAUUAGUAUCCAUCGAAUAAUAAUGAAUCCAUAGUAAACAGUUGGGUUAUUUCAUCAGUAUAUUUUGUUGAAAUAUUGCUUUAAUGAAGUAUGAUAAAUUAAAAAUUAAAAUUGUACUUCGUGUAUACAAACUGUUAUUAUUGAUGAACUUUCCGGUUUGGAUUUUCAUUUUUGUUGUUGAAUUUUUUACUAUCAUAUGUGAUAUAUUUAACGAAAGAAAGAAGCGCUUACACUAUUGUAGUUUUUGUUUCCUCUUACUUUCAUCAAUAAAUAACAGGAAACUGACAAUUUAUGUAAGUAGAUGCGAGUAGGUAAAAUGACAACAUACAGCGAUAGAAACAACAAAUACCAGCAACCACACACCAUGAAUUUGACAAUAGAAAAAGACAAAAUACAGAUUCAAAUCUUAUUAUUCGAAUUAUUGAAAGUAUUAGGGAAUCCAUUCGGUAACCAUUAUUUGAUUAUGGUUGUGUAAUAAAAGUAUCAACGGCGAAACCUAACCCAGGCCAUUUACACUACUCUGUUAAAUUUCUUCGGAGUUGGGUAUUUUUUAUAUUGUACUUUUAGACGGAAUCUAACUCAAGACAGACUGUCUUUUGAUUAAAAAUGAAAUUAAUUGUAUUUUUUAAAAAUAUUUUACAAUACUGGAGAUUACAUAUAGACGUAAUUGUCUAACACAACAUUUCAACUCAGAAUCAAUGGUUUAGAGUAUGUUCAAUGAGUUUUCAGUAAUCCCUUAUAUUUCUUAUUGAAGUCCUUUUUAGUUCAUCUAUGCUAAAUGUUAUAAUUUGUGACAUAAAAUCUUAAAUAAAGCAGUAUAAAGCGAAAAGGAGACUUUUGGUGUAAAGAAAGCUUGUUUUAUCAUUGUGUGACUCUAUUUGAUGUAAAGAAAGCUUCUUUUAUCAUUGUGUGACUCUAUUUGAUGUAAAGAAAGCUUGUUUUUAUCAUUGUGUGACUAUUUGAUGUAAAGAAAGCUUGUUUUAUCAUUGUGUGACUCUAUUUGAUGUAAAAAAGGGACUAGAGGUUCAUACAUUUUAUUCAAUAAAGAAGCAACAAACGACACAAAAUGAAAAAAAAAAGAAGUUAAAUUCGGUUUAUAUGUAUUAUAAAAUUGUUUUUUUUUACAAAAUUAAAUGACAACAUCCUGACCAUCUUUGUAAGAUGACAAUUAAUGCAAUGAAAACAAAGUCUAUGAAUGCAUCUCCCUCAUGCCUAAUGGACAGUAGACGCUUUUCGCUGUCAGUUUCACCCGAUACCAUCGACCCAGUAUGAAUGAUUUGAUGGAAGCAUUACAUGUAUGACCGUACAUUUUAGAACUAAGGGAUUUAGGUGAGAAGAUUUGAGUAAAGUAGACAUGUAAUCGUAUCAAGUUUUAUUAUGGAGAAUAAUCAUGUUAAUUAUAUUUCUUUUUGGAAUGAUAACAAUAGGUUUUUGGUUCGUUAUAUAGGUCAAUGAAAUUACAACAAAACGACAAAAAAACAUAAAAAUCAAGAGUUUAUAUACAUACGAGUGUUUAUUUAGAUAGUUAUCAAAUUGAAUAACACAAUAUUAUACAAAUAUAGCCUUUGUAUGAGGUCAAUACAAGGAUAUAUUGACCUGAAGAAGUAUAUUGACUGAGGACGAAGUCCGAUGUUGAUAUACCUCUUUGGGUCGAUAUAUCCUGUAUUGACCUCAUACAAAGGCUACAUUUAUUUAUAUUAUUAAUUUCCGACCAUAUUUGUAUCAAAAUCGUUAUUUGAUUUUGUUGGGAUUUUAUAGAUAUCAUAAUGUCUCCUUGACAAUAACAAAAUAUUAGUUGUUAUUUCAAUUGCUUUUUUUUUCUGUUUGUUUGUCAUCUUAUGUAUUUUGAAGAUUUUUUACCGUCAAAUAAUCGAUCACAGAUAGCAUUUGUUUCAAAACGUUUAAGAUCGUUUUUAAACAAUAUCCUGAAAUUCAUUACAUGACGUCACAAAGUAUAUCGGUUUUUUUUGUUAUCCGCCGUUUUCUCUCUACCUUCGAAAAUAUAGUUUAACAUGUGACUAUCCAUAAACGAAUCAAAUUUGUUUAAAUACAUGAAUUAAUAAUACUUCUAUUUGAUGUAAAGAAAGCUUGUUUUAUCAUUGUGUGACUCUAUUUGAUGUAAAGAAAGCUUGUUUUAUCAUUGUGUGACUCUAUUUGAUGUAAAAAAAGCUUGUUUUAUCACUGUGUGACUCUAUUUGAUGUAAAGAAAGCUUGUUUUAUCACUGUGUGACUCUAUUUGAUGUAAAGAAAGCUUGUUUUAUCACUGUGUGACUCUAUUUGAUGUAAAGAAAGCUUGUUUUAUCAUUGUGUGACUCUAUUUGAUGUAACGAAAGCUUGUUUUAUCAUUGUGUGACUCUAUUUGAUGUACAGAAAGCUUGUUUAUCAUUGUGUGACUCUAUUUGAUGUAAAGAAAGCUUAUUUUAUCAUUGUGUGACUCUAUUUUGAUGUAAAGAAAGCUUGUUUUAUCAUUGUGUGACUCUAUUUGAUGUAAAGAAAGCUUGUUUUAUCAUUGUGUGACUCUAUUUGAUGUAAAGAAAGCUUGUUUUAUCAUUGUGUGACUCUAUUUGAUGUAAAGAAAGCUUGUUUUAUCAUUGUGUGACUUUAUUUGAUGUAAAGAAAGCUUGUUUUAUCAUUGUGUGACUCUAUUUGAUGUAAAGAAAGCUUGUUUUUAUCACUGUGUGACUCUAUUUGAUGUAAAGAAAGCUUGUUUUAUCAUUGUGUGACUCUAUUUGACGAGUAAUUGCCAAAUGUUGAACUGGUUCAAUAACCUUUGUUACAUACGUCAAACGAUGAUUAUUUGGAGAGCUUUCCCAGACAUAAUAUUAAGAUUAAAGGUUCUUAUUCCGAAAUAAACACUGUUCUAGAGAGCCGUAAAUCGUAACCUUAAUUUUCUAUUUUAUACUCUACGUCUACUUUGUCUCGAUAUGUCUGGUAAAAAGUGGCUUUAUCAUAGAAAUUAGAUUAAGUAAUCAUAAUAUAUACUAUUGCAUUCAUUGAUUCUUUUUCUUUCAGAGACAAGUGAAUUGUCAAAGGUGAAGCCACAUAGGGCUUAUAACUGGUAUACAGUAAAAGACAAAAACAGAGGUUUAAGGUUAACUGUUUAUUUAAAAGACUUACCUGAUGUAUAAGAAUGCCAAAAUGUAAACAAUAAACGGAAUAACAAAAAACAAAAAACCCAA
rnacentral:lncRNA from 1 species